CAGAAAAAAAAAAUCAAGUGCAAAGAUCCUGAGGUGGGAAUCUACAUAAAGGCUCAAAAACAACAAGAAGAUUGUGGAAAAAAAAAAAAAAAAAAAAAAAAAAAAAAAAAAAAAAAAAAAAAAAAAAAGACU
rnacentral:lncRNA from 1 species